GGUGACCAGCAAGGAGUACUUCCCAGUGUGAGGCAUGAGUGUGCUGCAGACAAGGCAAAGAGUCUUACAGGGGACUGGGGCACCAAGAGAAAGAAAUGAUGGGACUGUUUCACUCUUCCUGCUCAGGCAAAAAGAAGAAAAUAGAGAUGGGUUCUUUGUGCAUGCAAACCUCUUGUAACCUGAUAGAAGACUACAAGAACAAAAGGGAGGCACUUUAAGUAUAGGAAGAUUUUCUAAAAGUCAACUG